UAUGCUAAGGGGGAAGUAUUACCCCUUAGCAUAUAUAUGUAGCAUGUAGCA
rnacentral:sRNA from 12 species